AAACCUGACUUUGUGCAUUUCUUCUCUCCCUCUCCUCUGUCUUUUAUUAUAGUGAAGAGCCCUGGUUGAAAUGCUUCUGAUAUAGUUGCUUUUAAAGUAUUAGGCCACUUUGUUCCAUUUUGCUGUCUUUCUGAUCCUAUCCCAUCUCUGUUUAACCCCCCCCCCCCCACACCUUACCUUUUCUCCUCCUCUUCUCCACCAGCCCCCACCACCAUCCCUUGCUCUCCAAUUCCGCAUUAAGGAAGCACAAUUCACUGAGAAUGACUCUGGAGCCCAGCAUCACUUUUCUCUUUUUCUACUACUGUACAUCACCUCCUUUCAGCUGAUUCACUCUUCAUUUCAUUUCACAAGAACAUUAUUCCUCUUCCAUCACUCUUUUUAUCCAUUUUGCCUGUUUGAACACUUUUUGCCAGCUAGAAACUCAUUUCCUCCCUUUUCUGUCACUUUCCUUUCUGUCUAUUCUAAUUCUUUUUUAGGCAGCUUGAAGAAAGUAAGUCAGCUCUUUCAGAUCUGCGUUUAGACAGUGGAGGUUAGAAAAAAGUAAAGAAAGAAGAAGGAAAUAUUGAAGAUGUCACGCGUGGGCGGUGGGAGGACUCACGCGAGUUCGAAAAACAACACCAGAAGAUGGGACCCUUAUCACAAGUGAUCUGAACAAAGUCAACUCCAUCAUUCCUCCAAGAACACUGAAUCAAAAAUGAGUAAAAUAAUAAGUGACCACAUCCAGACUGGGCGAAUAUCUUUAAUACUAUUCCAAUGUCUACACAGAACACCCAAAUGAGAAACAACAUAUGUGACCCUGGUCCAUGAAACCAGACUCAGGUGACAAUUUUUCAAAAUUCAGAUUUAUACACCAUCAGAAAGCUGAAUAAAUAAGCUUUCUAUUGAUUUAUGGUUUAUUAGGAUCGGACAAUAUUUAGCUGAGAUACAACUAUUUGAAAAUCAGGA